rnacentral:misc_RNA from 1 species
UCCCGGGUCUAGGACGUUGCUCAUUUUUCAGCGUAUUCAUGCCUCCUUGUCUUGUGCCCCACACCUCUUCCACCCGCUAUGUGCGUGCUUGCGUGCGUGCCUGAUGCCGUAGGGGCACGCACGCGCACUGUCGCCUUCCCCACCCCACUGCGCUCGCGCCGCUCUGUCCUGCACGCUAGGGCCAGCGAAGGGGGAUCCGCGUUUCCUGCCCGUGCUACAUGUGGCACCGACGUAGCAGUAGAGGGUGGCGCAGUGAAUCGCAUAGACACACAAUCGUAAGAGGGCACAGACAGUCGGAUCAUCAUGGCCGGAACGUGAGGGAGAGGAAGAGAUGGACAGACAGCCAAACGGGGUUGGGACCAGAAUGAUGGCUUGAUACAUGCGUCCGUAGUGCCGUGUUAGUAUCGCGACGGACUGCACGUAGCCUGCGGUGCACCCCCAUCCCCCCAGCACACACACACACACACACACACACGCAUACAGACAGUUGCGUGUUUGUGGAUGUGACAGACGGGAUGCCUCGCCGUUUUCUUUUCUUUUUUUAUUUGUACUCACAUGCGUGUGCACGAGAGGGAUGAGGAAGGGGGUCUUGCACACCUUCCAAUAUCAGCUCAUUCCUUUUUUGAUGGUAAGGGGACGAGAUCAGGUAUGGAGGCGGUGCCGCUCUGUGUAAGUGCGUUUGUGUGUGUGUGUGUGUGGGGGGAGCUCUUGAGUGAUGGGCCGCACGCGCGCCUCGUUCUUUCAACUCCUUACCUCCCUUUUUGUCAAGAUGUGUGAAAUCGAAGAAGCACAGCCAGAAGAAAACGGCCACACAUGGUGAAAGAGAAAGCUGAGGAUGUUCCUUCUCAAACUGCUUUGAGUCCCUGAUGACAGAGGAGGGACACACACCUCCGCGCGUGGCAUCUCAGGGCCCAGCGGCCCCGCACCCUCUGUGUGGGUGGAGGAGGCCAAAGCAGCCCUCCUAUAUCCCUGCCAAAUGCCGAACCACUUGAGGUGGUGACCGGGUCAGGUGCCUACGACGUAUGGGGGAGGCGAGUGCGAUGCAUCCCUGCUGAUGUGGGCGGCCGUGCCCUGGACGGCGUGGCGUCGGGGCGACCUGCGACUGUGAACAGGUCUGUGCCCAUCCACGUGAUGGGCAGGGUGCCCACGGCACUUGAACGACUGUCUCGCCCCGGGCCCUCACACCGCCCACUGGUGAGGGAAGCGGCUGUGAGGCGACCUGCGCAGCGCGGGGCGGUGGGCGGAGUUUGAGGCGCAGGCCGUUCUGAAAUGGCUGUGCUGGCAUUUUUGUAGCGCGCGUGUGAAGCGCUGCUUCGCCCCACACGCGGUGGUGGAGGCCUGUGACGGGGCAGAGGGGUGUCGUUCGGAGUUGAGCUAAUUUUGUGCCGAAG